rnacentral:rRNA from 1 species
GAUGAACGCUGGCGGCGUGCCUAAUACAUGCAAGUCGAGCGAACGGACGAGAAGCUUGCUUCUCUGAUGUUAGCGGCGGACGGGUGAGUAACACGUGGAUAACCUACCUAUAAGACUGGGAUAACUUCGGGAAACCGGAGCUAAUACCGGAUAAUAUUUUGAACCGCAUGGUUCAAAAGUAAAAGACGGUCUUGCUGUCACUUAUAGAUGGAUCCGCGCUGCAUUAGCUAGUUGGUAAGGUAACGGCUUACCAUGGCAACGAUGCAUAGCCGACCUGAGAGGGUGAUCGGCCACACUGGAACUGAGACACGGUCCAGACUCCUACGGGAGGCAGCAGUAGGGAAUCUUCCGCAAAGGGCGAAAGCCUGACGGAGCAACGCCGCGUGAGUGAUGAAGGUCUUCGGAUCGUAAAACUCUGUUAUUAGGGAAGAACAUAUGUGUAAGUAACUGUGCACAUCUUGACGGUACCUAAUCAGAAAGCCACGGCUAACUACGUG